AGUAAGUGUUCCCUUGAAUGAUCCCUUGCUUUUAUUCUCCGGCGGUUCCCACCGCCGGUUUUUUUUGCCUGUU
rnacentral:misc_RNA from 1 species